GAUGAAAGAACGUAGCGAAAUGCGAUAAGUAAUGUGAAUUGCAGAAUUCAGUGAAUCAUCGAAUCUUUGAACGCACCUUGCGCUCUUUGGUAUUCCGAAGAGCAUGCCUGUUUGAGUGUCAUGAAAAUAUCAACCUUGACUUGGGUUUUGUGCUCUAGUCUCGGCUUGGAAUUGGGUGCUUGCCGCUUUUACGAGCGGCUCACCUUAAAUGUAUUAGCUGGAUCUGUCUUUGAGACUUGGUUUGACUUGGCGUAAUAAGUAUUUCGCUAAGGACAUUCUUCGGAGUGGCCUCGUUUCUAGGACGCUUGUCCGCUUUCCAAUACAAGUUCCACCUCGUGGACAUGACUUUUUAUUAUCUGGCCUCAAAUCAGGUAGGACUACCCGCUGAACUUAAGCAUAUCAAUAAGCGGAGGA
rnacentral:misc_RNA from 1 species